CAGCAGCCGCGGUAAUACGUAGGGUGCGAGCGUUAAUCGGAAUUACUGGGCGUAAAGCGUGCGCAGGCGGUUUUGUAAGACAGGCGUGAAAUCCCCGGGCUCAACCUGGGAAUGGCGCUUGUGACUGCAAAGCUAGAGUGCGGCAGAGGGGGAUGGAAUUCCGCGUGUAGCAGUGAAAUGCGUAGAUAUGCGGAGGAACACCGAUGGCGAAGGCAAUCCCCUGGGCCUGCACUGACGCUCAUGCACGAAAGCGUGGGGAGCGAACAGGAUUAGAUACCCCCGUAGUCCCUGUCUCUUAUAC
rnacentral:rRNA from 1 species